AGGUCCAGUGACCUACGCUUUCGUUGGGAAGUGACAGUGUGGCACUCGUCUCCUCUAAGCAGUCUUUAUCUUUGCAGCUCUCACUUUACAGUGUGUACUGUGUCCAUCUUACAAAAACGGGGAGUGUGUUAAUGGGAGUCAGACAUGCACUGCACGACCUGGCGAAACUUGUAUGAUCUGCAGAAUCUGGAAUUCAACUGAAUAUGAUCAAGUGGAAAUUGUGGAGUUGAGUUAUGCAGAAUUCUGCAAUUCUAAUGAAAUACUUGUUGGAAGUGAAAUAACACAUACAUACUGCUGCAAUAAUGGUGAUUUCUGCAAUGAAAUUAGUGUGAGCUAGCUUCAGCCAUCAUCACCAUGAAUGUAGCUGACACAUGGUUUUCAUCAAUGCAUUUAUCGCCUCAGUGUGGAUGGACAAGACAGAUGAGUAGAUGAAAGGACCAUAGAGGAUGAAGAAGCUGAGUAUCCUUUGUACAACAUGUGCUUUAGGAACUUGCUUAGUUCUCAUCAUUGUGACUUACACUUCCAGGGAACGAUCCAAAGGGGAAAUAUUGAUGUGGAUCCUGGUAUCAGUCCUUCAUUGUAUUGCUCCAAUACAUGGGCCUACGGUAAAGCUAAAUAGCAAAGGCCAUGGCAUACCAAAACUGCUCACCUCAUGGUGUUCAGGAAGAAACAAGACAGAGAGAGGACUGUGGCAAGAUAAGGAUUUCAAGAAGUACACUCAGUGGCCCCCUCUCACUAUGCAGGCCCCACAGCUGAGAAGGAAGACAUCUGGAUGACUUUGUUCCCAUGAAUGAGAAAAUGACAGCUAAAAGAUCAUAGUGCCAACUUUCACCCAGUGAAGAAAAUCUC